rnacentral:lncRNA from 1 species
CCUAGUACCUGUGCUUGCUGCGAGUUUUAGCUUCGCCAAACGUACGGCAGGAAUCGGAUGCCCGGCUAGACGGCGAUGACCUGAUGAAUAUGAGGAGCGAUUGGUUCAGUCAAGAGGUUAUUCCAGCAGGCAUCGGGGGGCAAGACGACAUACCUGAGAACAGCAGUAAUACGGUAAAUGGCAGUACAGUCCGGAGCAGAUGAACUGGUUUCAAAAGUAGGUAAACCAUCUCCACUCCUUUUGUGGCAUUCUUCGUUGCUGCGAUUGUGUUUUCAGGGGGAAAAGUCGAGUUUGAAAAGAAAGCAUUGAGCGUAUCUACGAUGUUGUAAGAGUGUGACACGGAAACCGAACGGCAAGACGAGGCGGCAGAAGGUGGAGGACUGAAGGAGAAUGUUAACUUCAUGACCUCGUGGGCUUCAGAUACAUGUUUCUCAACAUGUGCUGUCGGUCGGGUGAAGGAGGCGGUUGUCUGUCUGCUUUUCUCCACGAAGAAAGAGAAUGUUAAAGAAACUAGCGAUUUCAUUCGCAGUGAGACAUUCGGUUUCUCAAUCUCGAGCGGUGCGUCCUGUCUGUCCUCCUGGGUCAUCAAUGUGUCGUCAGCGUCGCCCGCGCCCCAGAUGCAGAAAAAGACAUUCGACAGGAGGACGGCAUACAGUUGGAGGCUGUGGAAACGAAGAGACAAGAGGGGAAGUUAACUCCAACCUGAAAGGUCACGAGGACAAAAACGUCAACCAUGACACAGCUCUUACUGUGUGGUCCCGAUUUCUUUACAAAGCUUUUCCUGAAGCACCUUCGUGUGCAUCGUCGUCCUGGGAAAAUGCAGAGGAUGAACGACAAAAGGAGGAACAGAGUCAAGUUUGCGCGGUGUUGUAGAUGAAAGUGAUUACCAUAUAUUGUUUUGUGGCCAGAUAAAGAACCAAAACAAUGAUGAAGUGGUGAAGUAUAGUGCUCGAUUGCAGCAGGAGAAGACGCAUGGCAACAGUAUGCUCUCCUGGUUCCUUUGUCAUGGGCAGGCCUAAGUGUUUUUUGCAUCCUAUGGGGAAGAAUGAAAAAGAAUCUAGGGACGUGGAGAGCAGGGGAAAGACAAGAAUGUGUCAUAAGGGGUGUUGUGCACAAAGGAUUCAUUUUGUUGGUACCGUUGUUAUCGCCACGGAAGAGUGUAUGGAGUUACGAAAAGGAGUGGUCUGAUUUUUAGGCAAUACUGGUCUUGUUCUCAAGUACUGCGGUAACCAGGCA